UACGAAGGUGGCAAGCGUUGUUCGGAUUUACUGGGCGUACAGGGAGCGUAGGCGGUUGGGUAAGCCCUCCGGGAAAUCUCCGGGCCUAACCCGGAAAGUGCGGAGGGGACUGCUCGGCUAGAGGAUGGGAGAGGAGCGCGGAAUUCCCGGUGUAGCGGUGAAAUGCGUAGAGAUCGGGAGGAACACCAGUGGCGAAGGCGACUACCUGGCCUGUUCUUGACGCUGAGGCGCGAAAGCUAGGGGAGCAAACGGG
rnacentral:rRNA from 1 species